UAAAGGUGUUAAAAUUUUUUGUCCCGGAAGCGGUAGUGGUAGUAAAAAGCGAAUUACUAGCGGUAGAGGUAGUUCAAGUAGUAGAUAUACCCGUGUGCCUUCGCCUCCGGUACCACUUGGUACACCUUUUGAGGAAGAAAUAGGUGUAGGUGCUCACGAUAUGGAUUAUGUAGAAGCUCAGAAAAAUUACGGUAUAAAAGAAGAAAAUAAAGUGGAUGCGGUUAAUUUAGACGAAGAUAAUGAAAAUAUUGCUGCGACACCCGUAGUAGGAGAUGCUAACGUUAGAUCUGAAUCGGUUAAUCUCCCUCCCCG
rnacentral:lncRNA from 1 species